UAUUGCACAAUGGGCGAAAGCCUGAUGCAGCGACGCCGCGUGAGUGAAGAAGUAUCUCGGUANGUAAAGCUCUAUCAGCAGGGAANNCANNNANGGUACCUGACUAAGAAGCCCCGGCUAACUACGUUCCAGCAGCCGCGGUAAUACGUAGGGGGCAAGCGUUAUCUGGAUUUACUGGGUGUAAAGGGAGCGUAGACGGCGACGCAAGUCUGGAGUGAAAGCCCGGGGCCCAACCCCGGGACUGCUUUGGAAACUGUGCAGCUCGAGUGCAGGAGAGGUAAGCGGAAUUCCUAGUGUAGCGGUGAAAUGCGUAGAUAUUAGGAGGAACACCAGUGGCGAAGGCGGCUUACUGGACUGUAACUGACGUUGAGGCUCGAAAGCGUGGGGAGCAA
rnacentral:rRNA from 1 species